rnacentral:rRNA from 1 species
AUUGAACGCUGGCGGCAGGCCUAACACAUGCAAGUCGAACGGUAACAGGAAGAAGCUUGCUUCUUUGCUGACGAGUGGCGGACGGGUGAGUAAUGUCUGGGAAACUGCCUGAUGGAGGGGGAUAACUACUGGAAACGGUAGCUAAUACCGCAUAACGUCGCAAGACCAAAGAGGGGGACCUGCGGGCCUCUUGCCAUCGGAUGUGCCCAGAUGGGAUUAGCUAGUAGGUGGGGUAACGGCUCACCUAGGCGACGAUCCCUAGCUGGUCUGAGAGGAUGACCAGCCACACUGGAACUGAGACACGGUCCAGACUCCUACGGGAGGCAGCAGUGGGGAAUAUUGCACAAUGGGCGCAAGCCUGAUGCAGCCAUGCCGCGUGUAUGAAGAAGGCCUUCGGGUUGUAAAGUACUUUCAGCGGGGAGGAAGGGAGUAAAGUUAAUACCUUUGCUCAUUGACGUUACCCGCAGAAGAAGCACCGGCUAACUCCGUG